UAAAAGAUCAAUUCUGCAAGGCUGGAGAUCCAGAUACUCUGUCAGACUGAUUCACGGACUGAGCAUUCACAAAUGUAUGAAUCAGCCUGACUGGAAAAAACUAUUCAUGCUCUGAACUAUAAAAACACAGAAGCACGGUAUGCAUAAGAUAUAUAUAGGAUGGGAUUAUGCUUAUUCUGACAAUUGACAGCACAGGUGGGCAACCUGCAGCCUGGUGGCCCUAUGUGACCCCCCGAUCUCAUUUUAUGUAGGCCGCAACGACUCCUGAAGCUGCCCAUGUUCUUUCAUCCAAAAAUCAUUCAUGCAUAGAAUUACCAACGGUAGAAGAAUGGCAGAUGAAGAUGAUGGAGUUUAUGGAGCUGGCUGACCUCACCGGGAGAAUCCGCGACCAGAAAGAAGAGGAACACCAAGAAGAUUGGAAGAAAUUUAAAGACUAUUUGAAUAAAUAUUGUAAUAUUAAAGAUAUGUAACCACUUGAAAGAAACAAUUAGGCCUAGGAUUAAAAUGGAUUUAAAUUUAUAAAUAAGAAAAUGUAUGAUAAGGAAAGUUACUGCAUUUUUCGCCUUAUAGGACGC